AUCCCUUUGUUAUUCGUAAGUGUCAUGUUUGGGUGCUCAUGCUAUUGCAUAACGUGCCUCCCCACAAACCUUGUUACGACAUUGACAUACUACCCAUCUGAUG